ACGCUUGAAGUCAGUCGCGUCGUCCAGGGAUCAACCUUGCUUUUGCUUGGUGCACUUUCUGGUUUGACGGGUCAGCAUCAAUUUUGACCAUUGGAAAAAGAUCAAGGGAAUGUGGCAUCUUUGGAUGUGUUUAUAGCCCUUGGUCACAUACAAUGGUUCGGGAUUGAGGAACUCAGCAUGCCGCAAGGCCGGGUGUUUACACCACGUACGUGCUUAGGAUGUUGACAUAUAUAAUGGCUUUAAUCGACCCGUCUUGAAACACGGACCAAGGAGUC
rnacentral:rRNA from 1 species